GCACUCUUAAAAUCAUUCAGUUCUAAGUAUUUUCUGAUACUUUCUUGUAUGGUGUCUUCUUUGAUCAGUUUAGCAGUAACUAUAUUUAAAGUUUUUCCAACAUACAGGGUAUUUUAAGGUGUUGCUGUUACUGUUCUUACUGUCCUCCAGUUAUAAUGAGACACCCAAUGCGGAACCUCUCACCUCAGUCCAGCACAGAUUCCCAUCUCCACUACUGUUCAUUCAUGUUUGCUCUGCAAGGAUCUAUCUGUCCAUCUCUGCCUAGGAAAUGACUAUUCUGAAUUCAAGGCACUCACUGAACAUGUGCUAGAUGAGAACUCACCAUGGAUGAAGCACUGGGUACUGGACAAGGGGCAAGAUCAGCGAGGAGGAAAAAGCUGGAAGACAGAAGGCAGCGUAUCUUCUGAUGACCACUCCAAAUGGAAAUAUCAUUUCCAAAAUAGACUGUAAGCUCCAUGAGAGCAGUAACAGGGUCUGACUUGUCCACUGCUGGAUCCCUAGUUGUG
rnacentral:lncRNA from 1 species